rnacentral:lncRNA from 1 species
CUCUUAGGAAUCUCUUGAAACAUCAGGAAGGUAGUUUUAGUAGGUCUAUUGAGAAUUAUGGCUCUGAAGAAGAGAUACGUAGCGAUCCUGGUUAUGUAGCUUACUAUUUGUCCAACAUCAACCUGAAUCCGAGGCUCCCUCCUCCGUUGAUCUCACGUGAGAAUCAGCACUUGCUGCGUCAUUUGGGUGGUGAUGGUAAUAACCUGAGUCCAACAGCGUCUUGGGAUGAUAUGGGGGUAAGAUCUUCCUUGCUUGCUUCUAGAACUGCGCUUUCUACACAUAGAGAGGAGCCUGAGGACGAGGCUUCUUCUGGUGAACAGCUGACUUUUGCUUCUUUGCCUGGUCGUCGUAAGAGCUUUGCUGAUAUCAUUCAGGUACUGCUUGAUUCUAUCACUUAAUUUAAUUUUACAUUAAAGAAGAUUCUCUCUUUUAACGCUUUCUUUUGUGUUCAAGCGGCCUCAUUCGGCAGGGAACCAUCCAACAGCAGAAGACAUACAUGCCAUUUCUUCUGGUAUAGCUUCAGAAAGGACAAGAAGAGUACCAGAGUCUGAUAUAAGUGUGGUGAAUCUUCUGAGGGAGACAGAUUCUCUCUCCAUGGAGGCUAUUGCUAGUGAAGAUCCUUUUACCUCUGAGUUGAGCUCACAAAGUUCAACCAACACUCAGAAUGAGAGAUCAAAUGCGAGGGUAGGGAGCCGCGAGGACAACAAUCUAUCUGCUUUUGGUGCUUCUGGUCCAUCCUCUGCUGCUUCUAGAAUGAGGGGGAACCAAGAAGAGCCAAGGAGAAUGCCUGUGCAAUAUACGCCUUCAUCGUAUCAGGUUCAAGCUACUUCGCCACAACAAAUGACCUAUCCGAGGAUGGGUGGUGGUACACACGACAUGAUGCAGAACCUGCCUAGGAUUGCAACUGGAGAGGUACAUUCGAGUUUCCAAUCUCCUCACGGUUUGACAUCGCCUCCUAUGUAUACAUCAACAGCUGCAUAUAUGACAUCUCUGAGCCCGUUUUACAAUCAUAACUUUCAGUCCUCGGGUAUGUACCUCCCUCAGUAUGGUUAUAGCGGUUACCCUCCUGCCUCUGGUGUUGUCCCUCAGUAUAUGAGUGGAUACCCAUCUCAUGAAGCCACUGUUCCUAUGCCAUAUGAUAUCUCAUCGCCUUCUUCGGGCUACAACAACUCCUUCUCUCGUGAAUCCUUUUCACCUACUGCACAGAACACUCCUCUUCAAUCUGUUUGGUGAGAUUGGGCACCAACUUGAUCACCUCAUCAGCCUCUUCCACACGCUUACGCAGGCGUUCGAUCUCCUCCUGGACGCCUAUUACCCAAGGCUGACGAUAAUGAAAUCCAUCAGCCUUGGGGACAACAAAAAAAAACAUCAGACAACAUAAAAAAAAAAUUCUAUACUAAUAUAUGCGUCUGUUGAGGUAUCUCUUACCUCGUAGUUUAUGCAGCUGAAGAAGCGCUUCCCAGGAUGAGUGUCGUGCUCCUCCUUCACCCGAACCUCGUCAAUGAUUCUCCCACCACAGGGACAUCUUCUAGGAAUCCCAUAUUCAGAAUCUGCGACGUAUCCCAACAUGUUGCAGUACUCCUGAUGCCUCUUUGUAUCUCUUCUCUCCUCUGCGGGAUCCAUCUGAACCAGACAAGCAAACGGCUUACAACAAAAUCACAAAAUUAUAUCAUGAACGGAACCCAUAAUGGAACCCACUAUUCGAUAACAAAACGCUUCGAUCUAACCCAAAAUGAAACCCAGAUGACGAUUCGGAACCCUAGAAUCGAAACCCCCAAAACUCGAGUUUGAACCCUACCUCCAAUACCCCACUAAUCGACAACUAAACGGUUCGAUCUUACCCAAAAUGUAACCCAGAUGACGAUUUGGAACCCUAGAAUCGAAACCCCCAAAAUCGAGUUUGAACCCUAAUUUGAGAACCCCACUAAUCGACAUCAAAACGCUUCGAUCUAACGGGUAUUCACUCGACACACACCUAUUCUCGUCGAGGAGACACUCCGUCGUCGAUUCGAUGGAGAAAAGUGGAGAAACGUGAAGAAAAAUCAAAAUCGCUCGAGAGUUCGCCUCUCGGGAGAAAACCCUAGUCUUUUCUGGAAAAUGAGAAAAUGAAUUUCUCUCUGUUUUCGUCGUCGUGACGUCAACAACGCGGCGCCAAUGGAACCGUGACACCUGGCGUGAACCCGCCUCAUACCGAAUCACUUGUAAGAAGCGGGUCGCGGAAAUAAACCCAUUAAAACAUUUCUUUUUCCUAUUCGGGCCUAUGAACCCGAGCCCAUGAACCCCAUUACAACCUUCAAUGUGGAUGCUCUAAAAACUAUAAAUGAGAACAUUAUAAAUCUGAAUACUUCUUCUGUUUUUAAAGAUUAUUACUCGUAUAAUUCUUGUAAAAAUUCUAAUUAGUGGCUAAAAAGAAAAGAAGAAAAAUAAACAAAAGUGUGUAUUGUGUGUAUUUUGGUGGUAGCGAGCAAACAGGCAACAGAGACAGAGCCACGUGAACGUAUCUCUUUCAAUUACAAGUCUCAACACGUGUCGAACCUAGUCAUCACUUUUAGAACAAAUUGACGAAAAAGGGCUUGCGGUACCACCAUUAUCAAAACCAUACAGGGGGUGUUCCAGUCAUUACCUAGUUAAGAGGACGUCUUCGUGUGCGAAUCCGUCGUGAUUCUUAAUUAAGUUUUGGUUAAUGUUUUGUUAAAAUACGUAAAAAUUAAAGAUUAACAUCCCAAUAAUUGCCUUUAGAAAUUAAAGAAAAAAAACAUUAACUCUUGACUUGGUGACUCGACGAAAGCCUUGGAGACAAACUUUUCAAAGGGGUUAGUUUUAAUCUCUCUGGGUCUCAUCUCAUCGCUGCAACAAUUUCAUAUCAAGAAAAAAAAACACUUUCAUGGAGGCUUAAACAUCACCACCAUCAGGUAACUCUUUAACUCUUAGCUUCAGCCUAAGUUUUUGUGUUCUUUCACAAGUUAUGCAAGGAGCUAGUUUUAAAUGAAUAAAGAAGGAUAAAGUGAAGUUUCUGUUUAUUAGAAUUUUGAUCCUCGGUUAUAUAUGGGACUUUUACUCUUUGUAACGAGGUUGAUGAACGAGUCCAGUACUUUUAAAAAGAUGAUCCUUGUAAGUUCUUGCUGAUGGUUGUUUGGGUUGACUAAACUUUUUUAGCUUGUGAAAUGGUAGAAUCGUGUCUGAAAUUUUUCGAUCCUUGAUUGUCGAUUACACAUAGACUCAAAAAUAAACGUUGAUCAUUGAAAGUUUGGGAUCAAGUUCUCAGCUUUUUGAUUCUCUUAUGGACUAAGGUUUUAGCUUUACCCUUUUUGGGUUAGGUAGUAUUAUUAUUAUGUAAUCAAUCACCUUGUCUGAAAAUUUUGAAUUUGUUUUGGUUGAUGUAUAGAAAGUAUGACGACGCAGAGCGCUAUGAGGAUGGUGGAAGGUGAUCAUGUAAAAAGUUGGCAGGCUUCCUCUAGGGAUACUAGUGGGAUAUUUGGUUCACAUGAUAUGGCUGUUGAAGAUUUAAGGUUCCUUAUGGAAAGAAAUAGAUUGGAUAGUAGUGGAAGUGAUCAUACAGGUAAGAUCCCUAGUAGGAGUGGAAGCGCGCCGCCUAGCAUGGAAGGUUCAUUUGCAGCUCUUAGGAAUCUCUUGAAACAUCAGGAAGGUAGUUUUAGUAGGUCUAUUGAGAAUUAUGGCUCUGAAGAAGAGAUACGUAGCGAUCCUGGUUAUGUAGCUUACUAUUUGUCCAACAUCAACCUGAAUCCGAGGCUCCCUCCUCCGUUGAUCUCACGUGAGAAUCAGCACUUGCUGCGUCAUUUGGGUGGUGAUGGUAAUAACCUGAGUCCAACAGCGUCUUGGGAUGAUAUGGGGAUAAGAUCUUCCUUGCUUGCUUCUAGAACUGCGCUUUCUACACAUAGAGAGGAGCCUGAGGACGAGGCUUCUUCUGGUGAGCAACUGACUUAUGCUUCUUUGCCUGGUCGUCGUAAGAGCUUUGCUGAUAUCAUUCAGGUACUGCUUGAUUCUAUCACUUGUUUCUAAAAAUAUUAAGGAAGAUUCUCUCUUUUAACACUUUCUUUUGUGUUCAAGCGGCCUCAUUCGGCAGGGAACCAUCCAAUAGCAGAAGACAUCCAUGCCAUUUCUUCUGGUAUAGCUUCAGAAAGGACAAGAAGGUUACCAGAGUCUGAUGUAAGUUCGGUGAAUCUUCUGAGGGAGACAGAUUCUCUCUCCAUGGAGGCUAUUGCUAGUGAAGAUCCUUUUACCUCUGAGUUGAGCUCACAAAGUUCAACCAACACGCAGAAUGAGAGAUCAAAUGCGAGGGUAGGGAGCCGCGAGGACAACAAUCUAUCUGCUUUUGGUGCUUCUGGUCCAUCCUCUGCUGCUUCUAGAAUGAGGGGGAACCAAGAAGAGCCAAGGAGAAUGCCUGUGCAAUACACACCUUCAUCAUACCAGGUUCAAGCUACUUCGCCUCAACAAAUGACCUAUCCGAGGAUGGGUGGUGGUACACACGACAUGAUGCAGAACUUGCCAAGGAUUGCAACUGGAGAGGUACAUUCGACUUUCCAAUCUCCUCACGGUUUGACAUCGCCUCCUAUGUAUACAUCUACAGCUGCAUACAUGACAUCUCUGAGCCCGUUUUACAAUCAUCAUAACUUUCAGUCCUCUGGCAUGUACCUCCCUCAGUAUAAUUACGGCGGUUACCCUCCUGUCUCUGGCGUUGUCCCUCAGUAUAUGAGUGGAUACCCAUCUCAUGAAGCUACCGUUCCUAUGCCAUAUGAUAUCUCAUCGCCUUCUUCGGGCUACAACAACUCCUUCUCUCGUGGAUCCUUUUCACCUACUGCACAGAACACUCCUCUAGUGGAUCCUUUUCAGUUGCAAUAUUAUCAACAGGCUCAAGCAGAGGCAUAUGCUCCUUCAUUUGAUUCGUUCGGGAAGCAAGACCAACAAGCUGCUGGCUUUAUGGCGGCCAAUCAAGAACCUCACAGCAAUCCAUUGAGUCCAAGUUUUGGGUUGCAAAGUCCACGGCACAUGGGAAACUACUUUGCAGUGCCUCCGGGUGUGAGAGUCAUGCAGCAGUAUCCAGGAUCACCUCUUGCUAGUCCAGUGAUGCCAUCCUCACCUGUUGGUGGUGGGAUGAUGAGCCAAUUUGGAAGACGAAGUGAAACAAGGUAUCAUCAUCAACAAGGACCUAGUAGAAACACAGGGAUCUACCCUGGUGGUGGAUGGCAAGGGAACAGAGGAGGAGCCAGCAGCAGUGUUGUUGAUGAUUUUAAAAGACAUUCUUUUCUUGAUGAACUCAAGUCUCCAAAUGCUCGUAAAAUGGAGCUGUCUGAUAUCACAGGGCGUGUUAUUGAGUUCAGGUAGUGUUUCUAUCGUUUUCUUUAAUUCUGAGUUAGUAUUUUGAAAGCAUCAAAAGAUAAUAUCAUUUUGCUACUCGUUUUUUUUCUUGACUUCAGCGUUGAUCAGCAUGGAAGCCGGUUUAUUCAACAGAAGUUGGAGCACUGCUCUGAUGAGGAGAAGGCAUCUGUUUUCAGUGAGGUUCUUCCACAAGCUUCGAAAUUGAUGACUGAUGUCUUUGGAAAUUAUGUUAUCCAAAAGGUGAGCCACUUUUUCUUUUAUAUUGGAAAGUUUAUUUUUCUCCAUUAUAAGUUUGUUGAUAGAUAGUGAUGUGUGGAUCAGUUCAUAGAACAUGGAACUCCAGCGCAGAGGGAAGAGCUUGUGAAGCAACUUGCUGGUCAGAUGGUUUCUCUAAGUUUGCAGAUGUAUGGAUGUCGUGUGAUACAAAAGGUAAAUAAGUAAUAUUAGUUUCCCUAUAUCAAUGCAGUAUCUGAAGUAAAUGGUUGUUAAAUUGAUAGGCCCUUGAAGUGAUAGAUGUUGACCAAAAGACAGAACUGACUCGUGAGCUAGAUGGGAAUGUGCUGAAGUGUGUUAGAGACCAAAACGGAAAUCAUGUUAUUCAAAAGUGUAUAGAGAGUAUGCCUGCUUCUAGGAUUGGAUUCAUAAUUUCAGCUUUCCGUGGUCAAGUUGCCACUCUUUCUACUCAUCCUUAUGGAUGCCGAGUCAUCCAGGUAAAUGGAUUUAGUGUGAGGCUUUCUUGUGUGGUUGUGACUUGAAAUAUUCACUCUUUCUCCUUCCUAUAGAGAAUCUUGGAGCAUUGCUCAGAUGAUGAGGAGACUCGUUGUAUAAUCGAUGAAAUCUUGGAGUCUGCUUUUGCUCUUGCUCAUGAUCAAUAUGGGAACUAUGUCACUCAGGUAUGAUUUUUCUCUGAUCAGUGUCUCCCUUGUAUCUCAUUGUGUUCUUAGUCUUUGGUUUCGUGUCUUUAUAGCAUGUCCUGGAGAGAGGGAGGCCCGACGAAAGGAGACAGAUCAUUGAGAAGUUGACAGGGAACGUUGUUCAGAUGAGUCAGCACAAAUACGCGUCCAACGUUGUGGAGAAGUGUCUGGAACAUGCUGAUAGUACCGAGAGAGAGUUACUGAUUGAAGAGAUAAUGGGAAAAUCGGAGGAAGACAAUCACUUGCUGGUAAGAACACAACCGUAAAAAAAAAAAAACUCUCUGGAACCACUUUGGACUUUAUUUAACAUUCUAUUUUUCUUCCCCAGGCGAUGAUGAAAGAUCAGUAUGCAAAUUAUGUGGUCCAGAAAGUAUUGGAGAUCAGUAAAGAUGAGCAAAGGGAGAUCCUGGUACAGAGAAUGAAAAUUCAUCUCGAGAGUUUGAGGAAGUACACAUAUGGAAAACACAUAGUAGCCCGAUUCGAACAACUGUUUGGUGAAGGUAUUUGCUUUCUCUAACACCAAAACCUUAUAGCAAGUUUGUGGUCUAAAGUUCUGAACUGUUUGAUGUGUCAAUGUUGCAGAGAGUGAAGCUUCGGAAGGAGGAGCAGAAGGUUAGACAAGAGGUUUCAUUUGGGUUGCAGAUAAAGGACAAUGUUGGGGUUGUUAGAAGAAUAAAUAUAUAUAUUUGAAAAUGCUUUAUGUAUAUAUGUGCUUGUAACUAUGAAUGGAAGUGUGUGAUGGUUUGUGUAUAUGAUGUGUGGACAUAAUUUGUGGUUAUUGAUUUGCUCUUUUCUUCUGACUGAGAACAACAUAGAGUAGAGGAUAGUUUAACCUUAACAAAAAAAAAAGAAUUCAUAAUUUGUGGUUAUUGAUUUGCUCUUUUCUUCUGACUGAGAAAGAACAACAUAGAGGAUAGUUUAGCCUUAACAGAAAAAAAGAAUUCAGCUUCUUACUACUCAUGGGAAUCAAAACACUCCCUAAGUGCCAAAAAAACAUCUCAUGUGGCAAAGCCAAGCCACCUCAUUCAUAAAUUAAGAAAUGUGAUGAAGCGGCUUAACUUCAAGUAACAACAAUGGUAAUCUAAAAGUUUCAGUUUCGUCAUUAUAUGAGUGGUUUGGUGUUGGAGGCGAGCAAAAUAUCUUUCCAGGCUUCGUAGAAGACCCAAGUGAUGCCUGAAGACGGCAUGACUUUCAAACAACUUGCUCCCCAACCUCUGUAGAGUCCCAUCACUCCUCUUUCCUUCACUACUUCUGCUAUUGCCGCUGCCAUGUUCGGUGGACAUUCCCCCUUCAGAGCUCCCACCAUCAACCGCUUCCUCGCCACUUCCAAGGGGAAGCUAAUGGUGCUAGCCGUUAGACCUGACACAACAUUCACAAUCCAAUGAGUCGAGAGAAACCAAAAGAAACUUUUGUUUUAUUCAUUUACCGGCUAGAGCUCCGAGAAGAAGCAUCUCAGGACGGCUUAAAGCCUUCUUGUUCUUGGAUUUGCAGUAAGUGGUUUUCAUAGUGUCAUACAUGAAGUAAUAACAUGUGCUGUACGGAAGCAUCCCGACCAGUGUUGGCCCCAAGCCAGCGUAGAAUCCACGGAUUCCAUCGUCUCUUAGAAUCCUUGGAACUGCGAGUCUUAAGCUUGGAUAAAUCUCAGGGCUCACAGUCAAUCUAUCCUGGUAAAAGAUCAUAAAAAAAUCAGUCUCUUAUAACAACAACGAGAAAAGCUUUUACAUGAUUGCAGUGGAUUUUGAUCGAACCUUGAGGACUUCGAGAGGAUGGCAGACGAGUGUACUGGCAACACCUGCAGCUGCACCAGCAACAGCAACGGGAGAGAGCCAGGAGAUGGAUGGACUGAAACUAAAGUCAGCAAUCUCAAUCUUUGCCUGCUCAAUCUUCUUCAGCUUCUCUUGCGCUGAUGUCAUGACACGCUUUACACACUCAAAAGUGCUCAACUCAAUGGCUUGGGUUGGGAUGAUACGAAUCAUGUUGAUCUCGUUGCCAGCCCAAAGACCCACCCACCCUUGCUUCUGUAUGAUUUCCACAAAGCUACCUGGAAUGGUUCUGGAUCCAACACCAACAAUCAUCCUUGUCCUGCCAGGUUCCACAGAGCAACAAAGCAGUUAAGACAAAAAGUUCAUUGAGGAGAUAACAAGGUGUGGAGUAAUGCAGACCUUAUUGUUUCAAGUGGAGCAAGAACAGCUUUAGUCAUAGCUCCGGCUAAAGCCCCACUCAGAAACUCACGAGCUUCCCGAGACUUGAAGAAAUCCUGAAUCAAACAACAGAGAGAAACAUCAUAUCAUACAUUGGUUUCCCCAUCAGACAACAAAACAACACAAGACUCAAAAGCGAAGCAAGAGGAAACAAAAAGGAACUGACUUUAACAGGAAUGGUAAAGUCAGGAAACUGAGGCUGGAGAGGAAGAGGAGACUCCGAUGGAGCAGAGGAAACAGAGUCCUUCACCAUAGCAACGAACCCUUCUUUCGGUACAGCCAUUGUCAUUAUCUCUCUCUCUAUCUGACUCCUGAUUAAUCUGUCUUUCGAGGAGAUUCAAAAAAGGGACAAAAGAUAGAAUAUGCAGUUAAAACAUAACUAUAAAAAGAAGAAAUCUUUUUUCAGAUUGAGAAGAGAUCUAAAAGAGUUUUGUUUGAGGAUGAGACAGAGAUAGUCUCUGUGAACAUGCUGCUGCAAGUGAAGAUUUUAUGGGAAAGAAUUAACCUUUUUAGGGUUUAUGUGGGGUGCUCAUUUCUCCAACAAAUAUCUUUUGUUUUGUUUGUAAGCUGUAACCGGUUAAAUACGGUUUAUCAGCCGGUUCGGUCCAACCUUUUAGAAUACGGUUUUGUAAAAAUUGUUAAUCGAGACGGUGAAGUGAGGAGCCGCCGAGUCUUAUCCGAUCAAAUUACUCUCUCACUCGCAAUCAAAGCUCGACGAAGAUGUCUUGCUUGGUCGUCUCAUCAACUUGCUCGCUCCUCCCCUUCGACUCUCGUUCAACUCGUUCCAGCAAACUCGGCUCUUCACUUUCAUGGCAAUCUUCAUUUCCCAAAUUCUCCAUAGAUAUCGGCUCUGUUAUCUCCUCUCCCAUUGUCAAGAAGGUAAAAAGCCUUCUCAUUGAGUUGUCUGUACAGAGAAUCACUAGCUAUAGUUUCAUAACUUUGUAUGUUUGAGCUUGUUCUGUAAUUUCUGGUUUUGAAGUCAGAUUCUCUCUUCAAAGUUCAUUGCUUUUUUUCUGUAGGGUAUGUAAAAAUUCAUUCAAAGUUUCAUAAUUGAUCUUAGCUUGGUUUUGCUUUGUGAUGUUCUUGAUUUUGUAGCUUAGUGUGUGUUCUUGUUGCAUGUUUGAACUCGUUCUGUAAUUUCUGGGUUUGAAGUCAGAAUCUAGGGUUCUGUUUGAUUCUCUUCAAAUUUCAUUACUUUAUCUAUAGGGUAUGUAAGAUUUCAUUCAAAGUUUCUUUCUUUAUCUAUUUAAGGUUUGUUUUGAUGGGUUGUUUAGGAUUCUUUUAUUCAAGCUGCCUGGACUAGGAGAUCACGUGGCGAAGCAGCGAAAAGACCCAACAAGAAGUCAUGGAAGCAGAGAACAGACAUGUACAUGAGACCUUUCCUUCUGAAUGUCUUCUUCUCAAGGAAGUUCAUUCACGCCAAAGUUAUGCAUAGACCAACUAGCAAAGUCAUCUCGGUUGCCACCACUAACGCAAGAGAUAUAAGGACGAACAUACCGUCUCUUGUGGAUGACGAAGCGUGCAGACUAAUCGGCAAGCUCAUAGCUGAGCGUUCAAUGGAAGCAGACGUCUACGCUGUGUCCUAUGAGCCAAGAAAGGGAGAGAGAAUUGAAGGGAAGCUAGGGAUUGUUAUCGAUACCAUUAAAGAACAUGGCAUUGUUUUUGUUCCUUGAUUUGGCAUUUUCAUUACCAAGAAUGGUCUGUGUUCUGUUUUGCAUAAUGGUUCAAGAACACAUAGUUGUUACAAAGACAGUGGAGUAUUAAAAGAUGAUUAUAUAAUUAUAUUAUUGUAUGUACACUUUAUUUCUUCUUGUCACAAGACAUGUAUCUAAUCAAUAUCUCUUCAAAAACACUUUCCUCACAAGGAAUAUGAAUCCCUCCUUCAUGUUCAUAACCAAACUCGUCCGCUACUUCUUCCAUCAAAACUUUAAAUUCAGGAUACUGAAGAUACUUGGUCGGUAUAACAAACCUCUGCAUCUCAUCCCCCACGUAGACCGCAAGAUGCCCUCUCGGUACACCGUUUUGGUCUCUGGCUCGUCUCCUACCAUCAGAUAACUCCCCUGAGAGAAGACUGGCCUUUAUGUUCGUUUCAGACCUUCUGUUUCUUCUCUUCUCCUGGUUCUUGAGACGUACGAUGAAAUCUAGCGAUAUCAUUUUUGUCGUAUGAUUCAAAAGAUAGCAAAACCAAACGGAAAAAUUGUGUCCUGAGAAAAAGUUCAAAAAAGGAUUUUAUUUAAUCAAAGUCUAAUGACUUUUUCAUAUGAUAGAUCAUAGAACUGUAAAGAUCUUCUUGAAGUUGUUAUCUUCAUAGAAAAAAAUAAAUAAAGAACAAGCUAGGUUAUAGAAGCCCUAGUCGUUCUUGUUUCUUUAUUUUGUUUGUUUUUAUGAUCUGUCUACCUUUUAUGUCUUUUGGUUUCUUGGACAAUAAGCUACGUAAGAAGACUAUUAUUGGCAACACCAACAAAAGCAUACUCGUCCGUACCAUACAGUUGGUACGAGGUUAUUGUUUGGUGAAUCCAGUUCACAAAUCUAGACCAAAACUUUCGCGUUACCAACUAAAUUUUUUAUUAAAGUAAAAAUAGGCAUCAACCAUCUCGACAGUUCAUAUAUCUUAUGCAAUAACUUUCAUAUUUUUUAAGUCGAUCACAUUAUUUAUGCACAUCAUUUCAUUUAAUGUGCACAAGCGUGUUCAAUAGCUGAAACAGUUUGCUUCACAUCCACUCCCAUAUUGCAGAUAUUGGCAAGCGCUCCUGUAUACUUCAAUCCGUAAUCCAUCGUUGCUCCACAGUGAUUCUUGAAGCUAUUAACCUGCGAUUUUCAUUCGAUAAUAUAUACUAGUUUAAUAGUUGUUGCGUAGAGCACAAGUAAACAAGAUUUGAGAUGUGGUUGGUUGUUACCAGAGUCUUGAAGCAAUCCCAGUCGUCUACAAGAGGUUGUCCUGUUGUUCUUGUGGAAAUUAAGAGAUUUGAGACAUUGGUUUGCUUAAGUGAAAGUUUAAGAAUCUCCACAAUGUUCUGAUCGAUUUGUCUCCUAUGAUUCAUUUCUUCAAACAGCUUCUUCUCAAGUGCUUGUCUUUCAGGUGACUCCAUUGGAGAUCUUUGAAUCUGAGAGAUAGAUAGUGAAACAUCAAAAACAUAUAUAUGUUUAUUAUUCAAUCUUGAAAGAUGAGACUUCACCUUGCUCUUGAGAUAUAACAAAGGGAUAUCGCGAGUAUUGACCGAGCUUGAAUUAGAGAUUGGUGAAGCAGUGAAUCCAGCAGAAGUGAAGUUUUCGUUUUCAGGAUUGGUUCCAAUGUAAGAGACAAGAUAGUCUUUAAGAAGCGCCUUUGAUCCGAAACGGCUUACAUGAGAACUCGUCCCUGGUUCAGCAUCAGGACCUGUUCUUCUCUUUACAGCUUGGUAUUGCUGCUUCAAUGUCUCUUUACUCAUGUCAUGAAGCUCACUGUUCCCCCCCCAAAAAACACAAAACAGAGAAGUGUUUCUCAAAGUCUUGAAGAACAAUCAAAUCAUUUGAUAUUACAUACAGAUUUGAGUCUUUUUUUGGGUUGAAGUACCUGUCCUCAAGCCAAGAGACGCUAAAUGUAUCGCCGAGACAAACACCAUUAUAUUCAGGAGGAGGAGGAGGAUAUUCACCAGGACAGUAGAUUCCAAAACUGCUCUCUGUCGCAUUAGAAGCAGUUACUGCAAGUAUGUUUAGACUGGUCUUUAAAAUCCCUUCAAACAUACUUCCAGACUCACAUGCUUCAACAUAAAUCACCUAAACAUCACACACACACAGAAAACAACUCAAAGAUUCAAGAACAGAACACUAUAUAUAUAAAAAGAUGCUCGAACACACUAGAAAGGAUGUUUCUAGUUGGGGUUGAACCAACUCUCAGGCCAAGAGAGAGAGAUGACGAUGAAUGAGUUGAGUUAUUAGUACCAUCUUCUUGUAUCUUUUAAGCUUAUGCAUCUUCUCCAAGACUUUAAUGAAAUCUUUUGCAUGGAUAUCUUCACCAUCUGGCAUCGCUGAGAAUAAUAAACAUUGACCAAGAAAUCCUGAGAGAUAGAUAGUGAAACAUCAAAAACAUAUAUAUGUUUAUUAUUCAAUCUUGAAAGAUGAGACUUCACCUUGCUCUUGAGAUAUAACAAAGGGAUAUCGCGAGUAUUGACCGAGCUUGAAUUAGAGAUUGGUGAAGCAGUGAAUCCAGCAGAAGUGAAGUUUUCGUUUUCAGGAUUGGUUCCAAUGUAAGAGACAAGAUAGUCUUUAAGAAGCGCCUUUGAUCCGAAACGGCUUACAUGAGAACUCGUCCCUGGUUCAGCAUCAGGACCUGUUCUUCUCUUUACAGCUUGGUAUUGCUGCUUCAAUGUCUCUUUACUCAUGUCAUGAAGCUCACUGUUCCCCCCCCAAAAAACACAAAACAGAGAAGUGUUUCUCAAAGUCUUGAAGAACAAUCAAAUCAUUUGAUAUUACAUACAGAUUUGAGUCUUUUUUUGGGUUGAAGUACCUGUCCUCAAGCCAAGAGACGCUAAAUGUAUCGCCGAGACAAACACCAUUAUAUUCAGGAGGAGGAGGAGGAUAUUCACCAGGACAGUAGAUUCCAAAACUGCUCUCUGUCGCAUUAGAAGCAGUUACUGCAAGUAUGUUUAGACUGGUCUUUAAAAUCCCUUCAAACAUACUUCCAGACUCACAUGCUUCAACAUAAAUCACCUAAACAUCACACACACACAGAAAACAACUCAAAGAUUCAAGAACAGAACACUAUAUAUAUAAAAAGAUGCUCGAACACACUAGAAAGGAUGUUUCUAGUUGGGGUUGAACCAACUCUCAGGCCAAGAGAGAGAGAUGACGAUGAAUGAGUUGAGUUAUUAGUACCAUCUUCUUGUAUCUUUUAAGCUUAUGCAUCUUCUCCAAGACUUUAAUGAAAUCUUUUGCAUGGAUAUCUUCACCAUCUGGCAUCGCUGAGAAUAAUAAACAUUGACCAAGAAAUCGCCGAUUAGUAUAAUCAUGAGAAACAUCUAAAUGCUAGAUGUAGAUUGGUGGUAAAAUAAUACAUAGUAAACCAGGAGCUCCAUGGUCAGCAUAGUAGAUGAAUAUACUAUCAUUAGGACCACUUUUCACAACUUUGCCACUUCCUCCUGUGAUGCCACUUUCGUUUCCAAGUAUCACAUUAUAAAAGUUCUUCACAUUAACAGCCUCUUUAGUGUAGUCCUAUAUCAACCAACAAAAUCUAAAUAUGUUGAUUCAUUUAUAAAGUGCCCAAAAGUGAUGAGAAAAUAAUAACCUUAGGAACGCCUUCAUAAACAUCUCCACCAUCAGGUCUAUUGAUGAUAACUCCAGGCCUGGGAUUCUCAGGGUUAAACGCGAUAUCAUCAUACAUAAACACUAUAAUGUUUUCAUCUUUUAGACCCCCUUUUCGCAGAACUUGAUAUGCAUGGCAUAUGUCAGCCUGUGAAGCAAAACAACAGUAGAUUUAGUUCAUAGAAUCUCUUCAGGACCACCUUUUCUUCUUAUGGUUAGAACUUUUGAUGUAAAUCUCAUCUCAUCGCUGCAACAAUUUCAUAUCAAGAAAAAAAAACACUUUCAUGGAGGCUUAAACAUCACCACCAUCAGGUAACUCUUUAACUCUUAGCUUCAGCCUAAGUUUUUGUGUUCUUUCACAAGUUAUGCAAGGAGCUAGUUUUAAAUGAAUAAAGAAGGAUAAAGUGAAGUUUCUGUUUAUUAGAAUUUUGAUCCUCGGUUAUAUAUGGGACUUUUACUCUUUGUAACGAGGUUGAUGAACGAGUCCAGUACUUUUAAAAAGAUGAUCCUUGUAAGUUCUUGCUGAUGGUUGUUUGGGUUGACUAAACUUUUUUAGCUUGUGAAAUGGUAGAAUCGUGUCUGAAAUUUUUCGAUCCUUGAUUGUCGAUUACACAUAGACUCAAAAAUAAACGUUGAUCAUUGAAAGUUUGGGAUCAAGUUCUCAGCUUUUUGAUUCUCUUAUGGACUAAGGUUUUAGCUUUACCCUUUUUGGGUUAGGUAGUAUUAUUAUUAUGUAAUCAAUCACCUUGUCUGAAAAUUUUGAAUUUGUUUUGGUUGAUGUAUAGAAAGUAUGACGACGCAGAGCGCUAUGAGGAUGGUGGAAGGUGAUCAUGUAAAAAGUUGGCAGGCUUCCUCUAGGGAUCCCACUGGGAUAUUUGGUUCACAUGAUAUGGCUGUUGAAGAUUUAAGGUUCCUUAUGGAAAGAAAUAGAUUGGAUAGUAGUGGAAGUGAUCAUACAGGUAAGAUCCCUAGUAGGAGUGGAAGCGCGCCGCCUAGCAUGGAAGGUUCAUUUGCAGCUCUUAGGAAUCUCUUGAAACAUCAGGAAGGUAGUUUUAGUAGGUCUAUUGAGAAUUAUGGCUCUGAAGAAGAGAUACGUAGCGAUCCUGGUUAUGUAGCUUACUAUUUGUCCAACAUCAACCUGAACCCGAGGCUCCCUCCUCCGUUGAUCUCACGUGAGAAUCAGCACUUGCUGCGUCAUUUGGGUGGUGAGGGUAAUAACCUGAGUCCAACAGCGUCUUGGGAUGAUAUGGGGAUAAGAUCUUCCUUGCUUGCUUCUAGAACUGCGCUUUCUACACAUAGAGAGGAGCCUGAGGACGAGGCUUCUUCUGGUGAGCAACUGACUUA